AUGAGGUCUUCACUGAUGGUCCUGGCUUCUCUUCUCCUUCUCCUGGUUCUGGCUACAACAGCACAUGGGAUUCGGCUGGACAGGCACCUGCAUGAGGCACUCGGCAACAAGGAACAACUGGCCGGGCAGCCACAAAAAUCCAAUGACGCCGCUGAUUCUACCGGCAGCAGCAAGCCCUGCACGUCGGAUGGGAAUUGCUCAGGAAAGGCGAAAAAGCCACCGUCGCCGCACACUCACGCCGAACCGGAAGAGGCAUCAGCCAAGCAUCAGAUACCCCCGAAGAGGAAGGACGGUCACGCUCAGGUGACCAGCCACGGCGAGCAGGAGGAAGCGCCGUUGCCACGGCAACCGCAGCAGAAGACAUGGUCGCGCCGGACGCUGCCGCGGCGGCCAAAACAGCAGGAGACGAGGACGUACCCGGACCUGAUCGACAUCGCCGGGAUGGACUACUCGCCGGCCGCCAGAAAGCCUCCCAUCCACAACUGA
rnacentral:rRNA from 1 species